rnacentral:rRNA from 1 species
UACGUAGGGGGCUAGCGUUGUCCGGAUUCAUUGGGCGUAAAGCGCGUGUAGGCGGCUUUACAGGUCCGCUGUGAAAACUUGAGGCUCAACCUCGAGACGUCGGCGGAAACCGUAUGGCUAGAGUCCGGAAGAGGAGAGUGGAAUUCCUGGUGUAGCGGUGAAAUGCGCAGAUAUCAGGAAGAACACCCGUGGCGAAGGCGGCUCUCUGGGACGGUACUGACGCUGAGACGCGAAAGCGUGGGGAGCGAACAGG